UACGAAGGGGGCUAGCGUUGCUCGGAUUUACUGGGCGUAAAGCGCGCGCAGGCGGUCCUUUAAGUCUGAUGUGAAAGCCCACGGCUCAACCGUGGAGGGUCAUUGGAAACUGGGGGACUUGAGUGCAGAAGAGGAAAGCGGAAUUCCACGUGUAGCGGUGAAAUGCGUAGAGAUGUGGAGGAACACCAGUGGCGAAGGCGGCUUUCUGGUCUGUAACUGACGCUGAGGCGCGAAAGCGUGGGGAGCAAACAGG
rnacentral:rRNA from 1 species